rnacentral:rRNA from 1 species
AAAACUCUGUCCUCAAGGAAGAUAAUGACGGUACUUGAGGAGGAAGCCCCGGCUAACUACGUGCCAGCAGCCGCGGUAAUACGUAGGGGGCUAGCGUUAUCCGGAUUUACUGGGCGGAAAGGGUGCGUAGGCGGUCUUUCAAGUCAGGAGUGAAAGGCUACGGCUCAACCGUAGUAAGCUCUUGAAACUGGGAGACUUGAGUGCAGGAGAGGAGAGUGGAAUUCCUAGUGUAGCGGUGAAAUGCGUAGAUAUUAGGAGGAACACCAGUUGC